GAUGAACGCUAGCUACAGGCUUAACACGUGCAAGUCGCGGGGCAGCAUGGGGGUUGCUUGCAAUCCCCGAUGGCGACCGGCGCACGGGUGAGUAACGCGUAUCCAACCUGCCCUUCACCACGGGAUAACCCGGCGAAAGUCGGACUAAUACCGUAUGUUGUCCAUUGACGGCAUCCGAUUUGGACGAAAGGUUUGGCGGUGAAGGAUGGGGAUGCGUCCGAUUAGCUGGACGGCGGGGUGACGGCCCACCGUGGCGACGAUCGGUAGGGGUUCUGAGAGGAAGGUCCCCCACACUGGAACUGAGACACGGUCCAGACUCCUACGGGAGGCAGCAGUGAGGAAUAUUGGUCAAUGGGCGUAAGCCUGAACCAGCCAAGUAGCGUGCAGGAUGACGGCCCUAUGGGUUGUAAACUGCUUUUAUGCGGGGAUAAAGUGGCCCACGUGUGGGUUUUUGCAGGUACCGCAUGAAUAAGGACCGGCUAAUUCCGUG
rnacentral:rRNA from 1 species